GCCGGGGUGGUGGAAUGGUAGACACAGGGGACUUAAAAUCCCCCGGGCUCACGCUCGUGCCGGUUCGAAUCCGGCUCCCGGUA
rnacentral:tRNA from 1 species